AAAUGUGCUGUAUCAGCAUGACUACAGGGAUGGUUUACACUAUUAGCUUAGUGAAUUUAGUUAUGCCUAACUUUACUGUAGCUGCAGAUGCACCAUGAAAAGCUGGAUCUGUGCUAGUACAUAGAUAAUCCGAUAGGAAUUUGCAUAGGAUCUCAGCUUCACUGUUCCAAAAUUCUGUAAUCUGCUAUGGAAAAUUUGAGAUCAAGGUCAUUCUCGGGGGAGAGUGAUGCUGACCUUAAAAAUGCCUCUCUUCAUGUUACUGCUGUUUGGCAACAGGGUUGUCUUCCAAGAAUGGGUGGAUUCUGGUUUUGUUUAUUUAUUAUAUAUUUGUUUUCUGGGAAGGUGCAGUUACCUGGAAUACAUUUGUCUUUAUCUUGUUCUGAGUGACUUCGCAGUGGUGAUGGCAACUGGGAAACCAGAAGUGUAUGAGGGAAGAUUGUGAGAGAUUCAGAGUUCACAGUGGUUGCUUAGCGGAGCUGUAGUUUCAGGUUGCUGGAUAGUUUUUCGUAGAUCAAGUGCUAGUUAAUGGUUUCUAAAUCUAAUGUAUUGCUGUUCUAUUCUUGCUUUUUUACAGCUGAUGCCUUUGAUACAUUGACCCUCAGAGCAUGAAAUUGCUUUGUGAGGUGGGUGGGGGUAGAUACAGUCAGGGCCAAUAAUGGGGUCUGGAAUCUGCAGGGUGAAGAAAGCAUUAGUGCACAGAGAUGUUAACCCAGUAACAAGUCCAGGAAGUGGAGCCAUGUGGGGUGCUGACACUUAGGGAUUAUAUGGCAAAGAAGGCAAGAAUUCAUGUGGAGGCCAGCUACUGGAAGCCACAAGGAGCCAGCACAAGGUGGAAAAGGUACUGUCUGGUUAAGUUAGAUUAACCACAAUUUCUCAAGGUGAUUGGCCUGUGGUUCAUGGUGAGCAGCCUUACUCUAUCAAAAGGUUUUGUGCCUCUGUGUUAAACUUGUUCUGAGGGGCUGAUUUGACUCAGAACUCUGCAGUAAAGGUUAUUUCUUAAGCCAGAUCAGUUCUGUGAUCUUGUUUGUUAUUUGACUUAGCAGACACUUGGGCUGAUGGAAGGGGUGCAUGGGACUGUGACUGUACAAAUUAGCACUGCUGCUGGGAAGUCAGAGCUUCCCAUUCUGGCAAACCCUUGCCUUUGACGAAAAGGAGAGGUGGAGGUAGUUACAGAUGUGAGUGAAAUUAAGAAGGGCUGAAAACCAGGUUGAAGUGGUGGAAGCCAAAGCAUUUGGCUCAAUUGUGAACUCAAUAGCUGAAGCCAAUGAAUAAUGAGAUAAAGUACUUCCACUCUCAGUGACUAAAACGUAGUGCAAAUUAGGUGUAACUUUUUUGUUGUUUUUUUUUAAUAUCUUCACUUUUUGCUAUUGUUAGUGACUUUGAUCUGCUUUAGAAGUCUUCCUGGAGGACUUGGCAGCAAAUGCCUGCUCUCCCCGAGGAAGCAAAUAUUGAAGAGACUGGUGAACAGUCAGUUAAACUGAAAGAUACCUGUUUUCUCAUCGCAUCUCCCACAUAAAUUGUCAAUGGAAAUCAUGGAAAAAGUGAAGUACAAGCAAGAGCAAGAAGAGAUCUCAAUCUAAAAACACUGCAGAGUCUGACAGAUAGAAUUAACUGCCUACAGCACCAUGGGAUACUUCGUUAAAUGCUUUAGAGCUCAAAAUGUGUCCUGAAAUCUCUUCUGUGAACCUUGAUUAUGCUAGGGGAGAGCUAGCAAGAAACACUGUUAAAGUGCUGUUCUGCAACACUUAUUUGAUGGAAGUUUGCAUUCCCAUGAAAACAAAACUAACUGCUCUAUUGUAAAAAUAUUUACUGUGAGCAGCAGUACUUCAGAACCUGUUUUUCUGUGAAUCUGUCCUUUUUCCUUUAUGGCAUGUUAAUAUCUGUGUGUCCCAGCUCUUUUUACUGGCAAUUUUUUGGGGUUUUGUUGCCAGGCAGGAAUAGUACAUACUUAGGUGGAAUAAACUGGCCAAACAGCAUGUAAUAUGAGAGUUCUUCAUGUGUUUCUCUUCAGUGGCAGUGAGCUUGGUUUCUGUCUUGGCCACUGACAGCUUACAAAACGUACAGAAAAGUUGAAAUUGGACAAAGGGUUCAAAGGCAGUUUUGGGGAGGAGAGGGGCAAGUAACAGUUCGCACAAAACUUACUCAGCUAAAAAACUGGGGAAAGUAAUAUAAAAUUACAGCAGAAGAUCAACAUAUAGUUGAACUUUUCCUUGUUUGUAGGUUGAGUCCACAUCUUGUGGGUGACACUUACAGGGUGGUUUUUUGAUGUGUUUUUGUGUGUGUGUGAAUGUACACUUAAAACUUCAUCAUUGCAGACUGGUUUGUGUUGGAAGGAAUGUUAAAGGUCAUCUAGUUCCAACCUCCUACUGUGGGCAGGGACACCUUCCACAGGACCAUGUUGCUGACGGCCCCAUCCCUGCGUACUGAUAACUGUUUCUCUCAAAUAUGGCUUACGUCUCCAAGUCUUAUGUCAAAACAAAUUGGUUGUCUUUAACUGGCCAUCUUACUGUAAAACGUGAAAGUCAAGUUCCUGAUAUUACCUUAGAACUGGACUUACUUGUAUGUUUAAGCGUUUUACAUGCUUGGACCUUAAAAUGUAACUUUUUGGUUAAUUUUUCCCUUCCUGUUCCAUUUCCAUUGUUUCCCCCAAAAUGUAUUUGAAGAGAUUAUUAUAAAUAUCUUCAUAAUUGAAGGGCAAAAGCCUUAUUUGCUGUCAGAAUUUAGCAGGUGGUGUUGAUGUAUUUAAGUACAAACAUUUCAUGCUCUUUUAAUAAAUGGCAUCUUUCUUGUGGUUUUUUUUGUAGUCUAACAAGCUUGUCAGUGUUCUAAAAAGAUGCCUUUUCUGAACCUAAGAUGCUUCUCAGCUUUUGUGUAAAACGGUAGUGAUGUAUGUUCAUAGGAGUCACAACCUGUCAUUUUGUGUGUGUCAGAAGUUUAGCCUGAUGCUUGCUCUCUUGGCAUGGUGGCUUCAUCAGAGCUUGGUGGCUAUGAGAGAUGAGAGUUGACCAGUUACCUCAGAUUUCUUGCAAGUAUUCCUCCUCAUCUCUGCUUGAAAACAGCUUCAAUUAUGUCGAUAGUGGUGGAGCUCCAUGCACAGUGCAGGAACUGUCGCAUGAUUGCUUAAAGUGUUUUUAAUGUAGUAGUGAUGUUCCACAGGGGACUUUUAGAAGCAGCCUCAGCACUAGUGUAGCUGUAUGCAGCAGAAAUGCUUUUCUUUGCUCUCCCCUUUUCUGUGGUGUUUUAUAGCAAGAUUACCACGUCCACAUGAUAUAGAGGCAUAAAGGGCUGUGUGAACGUGAUGACAUACUAGCAGCGGUAUAGCCCCUUCAGUGUAAUGCAGUACCUCCAUUAAAAGGAUCGUUUUUCUCAUACGUGGGCUCUCCCAUUGUUUACUGGGAAAUGGUUAUUAGUGGCAGAAUGUGCAGUUUGCAGCCAGGCAUUGCUCUGUCAGUUAUGCUGGCAGGUAGAAGUGCUGAUGCUGCUGCCAGACAACUGCUGAUUCCAGGUUAUUUUAAGCCAGGAUUGGCUGCCCACUAUGGUUACAGUCAGCAUACUGUAUGCACACUGGUAUAACUAGAGAGGCAGUCUGGAGACCAGAGUGGCUGAGUGGAGGUUAGGGACUGCUGAGAUCAGGCCAGCUAUUAAAAUGUGUUAUCCUUAAUAUUUAAAAAUAAUAAUAGUUUUAAAUCUGAGCAGGCCCAUAAGGCCCCAAACCACACAAGUAGACAAAUUGGGGAUCUGGCAAAGUACAAGUGGUAGCAGCUGUGAAGAAGUUUAAAAAUUGGAUCUUUUCAUGAAGUUCGUUCUUCUAAAAUUUGAAGUAGGCUGGAUGUAUUAGUUUGCCUUUUCUGUAAGGCAUUGUUUUGUCUGCCAAAACUGUCAAACUGCUUCAGAGGUGGCAGUCCAAAUUGUCACACUUACCUGUGGCAGCGCCCACACUGAAAACUUGCUGGAAGAAAUAAGGGAUGUUUUAUGCACGUACAGGCAUCAUGUAUAGUUUUACUUUCACGCUACUGAACUAAAGCUUUAAGCGUUCAUUAUAGCUGCUUUUCUAGAGAAUUACUGUA